rnacentral:rRNA from 1 species
UCCGUAGGGUGAACCUGCGGAGGGAUCAUUACUGAGUUACCGCUCUAUAACCCUUUGUGAACAUACCUACAACUGUUGCUUCGGCGGGUAGGCCGUCCCCUGAAAAGGACGCCUCCCGGCCCGGACCGGACCCCCCGCGGGACCGGACCCGGCGCCCGCCGGAGGAUAACCAAACUCUAUUGUAACGACGUUUCUUCUGAGUGGCAUAAGCAAAAUAAUCAAAACUUUUAACAACGGAUCUCUUGGUUCUGGCAUCGAUGAAGAACGCAGCGAAAUGCGAUAAGUAAUGUGAAUUGCAGAAUUCAGUGAAUCAUCGAAUCUUUGAACGCACAUUGCGCCCGCCAGCAUUCUGGCGGGCAUGCCUGUUCGAGCGUCAUUUCAACCCUCAAGCUCUGCUUGGUGUUGGGGCUCUACGGUCGACGUAGGCCCUCAAAGGUAGUGGCGGACCCUCCCGGAGCCUCCUUUGCGUAGUAACAUUUCGUCUCGCACUGGGAUCCGGAGGGACUCUUGCCGUAAAACCCCCCAAUUUUCCAAAGGUUGACCUCGGAUCAUGUUUGGUAGGGAACCCGCG